CUGGCUCAGGAUGAACGCUAGCUACAGGCUUAACACAUGCAAGUCGAGGGGCAGCAUGAGAUUAGCUCGCUAAUCUUGAUGGCGACCGGCGCACGGGUGAGUAACGCGUAUCCAACCUUCCCCCUACUCAGGCAUAGCCCCGGUGAAAAACCGGAUUAACUCCUGAUAGUUUCACUAGAUGGCAUCUGACGGUGAAUAAAGCUCAGCGGUAAGGGAUGGGGAUGCGUCUGAUUAGCUUGUGGCGGGGUAACGGCCCACCAAGGCGACGAUCAGUAGGGGUUCUGAGAGGAAGGUCCCCCACAUUGGAACUGAGACACGGUCCAAACUCCUACGGGAGGCAGCAGUGAGGAAUAUUGGUCAAUGGGCGCGAGCCUGAACCAGCCAAGUAGCGUGCAGGGAAUGACGGCCCUAUGGGUUGUAAACUGCUUUUGUGCGGGAAUAAAGUCAGGGACGUGUCCCUGUUUGCAUGUACCGCAAGAAUAAGGACCGGCUAAUUCCGUGCCAGCAGCAGC
rnacentral:rRNA from 1 species